AGACGAUAAUGUAAACACAUGGGUGCGUAUUGUAGCGUUUUUAAAGUGUAUUGUAAUUCAUAGUUAAUAAAAUCAUAUAAUAUCGAUUGGAUAUUACGUUUGAUGCAUUAUAUUUGUGUGAUGAUUGAUUAAUUAUUAACAAUUGUCAGCUAAAAAUAUCUUUAUAUAAUUUUUAGCCGUCGUUGGGAAUUCUGACGUUACUAUGGUAUCCCUCUUAAUAUACAAAAAAAACCAUUAUACGAUUACUGCGGGUGUACAUAUUAUACAUUUCUAUAUCCA